rnacentral:pre_miRNA from 1 species
UCUCCCAACCCUUGUACCAGUGCUGCCCCUCAGACACUGGUACAGGUGUGGGGGCCA